CCCGCUGAGUUUAAGUAUAUCAAUAAGCGAAGGAAAAGAAACUUACUAGGAUUCCCCUAGUAACGGUGAGCGAACCGGGAAUAGCCCAGCUUGAGAAUCAGGUGCCCUCGGCGUUCGAAUUGUAGUCUGGAGAAGCUUCCUCAACGGCAGACCGGGCCCAUAUCCCCUAGAAAGGGGCGCUAGAGAGGGUGAGAGCCCCGUCGUGCCCGGACCCUGUCGCACCACGAGGUGCUGUCUACGAGUAAGGUUGUUUGGGAAUGUAGUCGAAAUCGGGCAGUAAAUUCAAUCCAAGGCUAAAUACGGGCAAGAGACCGAUAGCAAACAAGUACCGCGACGGAAAGAUGAAAAGGACUUUGGAAAGAGAGUCAAAGAGUGCUUAAAAUUGUAAGGAUGGAAGCGGAUGGGGGCCAGUGAUGCGCCUCAAUCGGACGUGGAACAGCCAAAAGCUGGUCCGCCGAUUGGCUCGGGGUGCGGACCGACGCGGAUUGCAGAGGCGGCCCAAGCCUAGGCUUUUGAUAUGCCUGCGGAGAUGCCGUCGCAGCGAUUAUGGACUGCAGGGCGCACCAUCACGGCGUGCUUUGGCACUUGUGUGCUCCGGGCGUCGGCCAGCGGGCUCCCCAUUCAACCCGUGAUGG
rnacentral:ncRNA from 1 species